rnacentral:rRNA from 1 species
CGUAGGGCGCAAGCGUUGUCCGGAAUUAUUGGGCGUAAAGAGCUCGUAGGUGGUCUGUUACGUCUGCUGUGAAAACCUAGGGCUUAACCCUGGGCCUGCAGUGGAUACGGGCAGACUAGAGGUAGGUAGGGGAGAAUGGAAUUCCCGGUGUAGCGGUGAAAUGCGCAGAUAUCGGGGGGAACACCGGUGGCGAAGGCGGUUCUCUGGGCCUUACCUGACACUGAGGAGCGAAAGCGUGGGGAGCGAACAGGAUUAGAUACCCUGGUAGUCCACGCCGUAAACGUUGGGCGCUAGGUGUGGGGUCCUUCCACGGGUUCCGUGCCGCAGCUAACGCAUUAAGCGCCCCGCCUGGGGAGUACGGCCGCAAGGCUA